rnacentral:lncRNA from 1 species
UAUUUCAUCUCUAAAAAGGUAUCUAAAUUUCCUGGUUAAAAACUGUAUCUUGUGCAACAAACCUAACUUGAAUCAUCAUUUUGUCUUUUUAGUCCGAAAGCGCAAUUCAUGAGUUAUCUGACUCAGUUUGGUAAGUGACAUGCGCAAAUUUUUGUUUCCUUGUGUAUCUCAUGAUGAUGCUUCAUAGAUAGGCUAUGGGGCUUGGCUUGAGAAGCAGCAAACAACUUGUUUCUAUAGAUUAUACUUUAUAUAUGCCUACAAGGUGUUAGAUAUAAUAAACAUACCGGCUGC